rnacentral:rRNA from 1 species
CUACGGGAGGCACCAGUGGGGAAUAUUGCACAAUGGAGGAAACUCUGAUGCAGCAACGCCGCGUGGAGGAUGACACUUUUCGGAGCGUAAACUCCUUUUAUAUAGGAAGAAGAUGACGGUACUAUAUGAAUAAGCGCCGGCUAACUCCGUGCCAGCAGCCGCGGUAAUACGGAGGGCGCAAGCGUUACUCGGAAUCACUGGGCGUAAAGAGCGUGUAGGCGGAUUAAAAAGUCAGAAGUGAAAUCCUAUAGCUUAACUAUAGAACUGCUUCUGAAACUCUUAAUCUAGAAUAUGGGAGAGGUAGAUGGAAUUUCUGGUGUAGGGGUAAAAUCCGUAGAGAUCAGAAGGAAUACCGAUUGCGAAGGCGAUCUACUAGAACAUUAUUGACGCUGAGACGCGAAAGCGUGGGGAGCAAACGGGAUUAGAUCCCCCGUAGUC